rfam:Triticum aestivum genome assembly, contig: Triticum_aestivum_CS42_TGACv1_scaffold_249827_3DL
CCAUUGCUCAGUUGGUAGAGCACAAGGCUCUUAACCUCGUGGAUGUGGGUUCAAACCCCAUGGUGGG